rnacentral:rRNA from 1 species
CAGUAGCCGCGGGAAUACGUAGGUGGCAAGCGUUGUCCGGAAUUAUUGGGCGUAAAGGGCUCGCAGGCGGUUUCUUAAGUCUGAUGUGAGAGCCCCCGGCUCAACCGGGGAGGGUCAUUGGAAACUGGGAAACUUGAGUGCAGAAGAGGAGAGUGGAAUUCCACGUGUAGCGGUGAAAUGCGUAGAGAUGUGGAGGAACACCGGUGGCGAAGGCGACUCUCUGGUCUGUAACUGACGCUGAGGAGCGAAAGCGUGGGGAGCGAACAGGAUUAGAUACCCGCGUAGUCCCUGUCUCUUAUAC